rnacentral:rRNA from 1 species
GUUGACCUCGGAUCAGGUAGGUAUA